rnacentral:rRNA from 1 species
AUUGAACGCUGGCGGCAGGCUUAGCACAUGCAAGUCGAACGAGUGGCGGACGGGUGAGUAAUGCUUGGGAAUCUAGCUUAUGGAGGGGGAUAACUACGGGAAACUGUAGCUAAUACCGCGUACCAUAGGAUGAGCCCACGUGGGAUUAGGUAGUUGGUGAGGUAAAGGCUCACCAAGCCGACGAUCUCUAGCUGGUCUGAGAGGAUGACCAGCCACACGUGAACUGAGAACAGGCCCAGACUCCUACGGGAGGCAGCAGUGGGGAAUAUUGGGCAAUGGGGGCAACCUGACGCAGCCAUGCCGCGUGAAUGAAGAAGGCCUUCGGGUUGUAAAGUUCUUUCGGUAGCGAGGCGUUAACUACAGAAGAAGCACCGGCUAACUCCGUGCCAGCAGCCGCGGUAAUUC